UACAGAGGUCUCAAGCGUUGUUCGGAUUCAUUGGGCGUAAAGGGUGUGUAGGUGGCGCCCGUAAGUCGGGUGUGAAAUUUCGGAGCUUAACUCCGAAACUGCAUUCGAUACUGCGGUGCUUGAGGACUGGAGAGGAGACUGGAAUUCAUGGUGUAGCAGUGAAAUGCGUAGAGAUCAUGAGGAAGACCAGUGGCGAAGGCGGGUCUCUGGACAGUUCCUGACACUGAGACACGAAGGCCAGGGGAGCAAACGGG
rnacentral:rRNA from 1 species